AGCGGCGGACGGGUGAGUAACACGUGGGUAACCUGCCCAAGAGACUGGGAUAACACCUGGAAACAGAUGCUAAUACCGGAUAACAACACUAGACGCAUGUCUAGAGCUUGAAAGAUGGUUCUGCUAUCACUCUUGGAUGGACCUGCGGUGCAUUAGCUAGUUGGUAAGGUAACGGCUUACCAAGGCAAUGAUGCAUAGCCGAGUUGAGAGACUGAUCGGCCACAUUGGGACUGAGACACGGCCCAAACUCCUACGGGAGGCAGCAGUAGGGAAUCUUCCACAAUGGACGAAAGUCUGAUGGAGCAACGCCGCGUGAGUGAAGAAGGGUUUCGGCUCGUAAAGCUCUGUUGGUAGUGAAGAAAGAUAGAGGUAGUAACUGGCCUUUAUUUGACGGUAAUUACUUAGAAAGUCACGGCUAACUACGUGCAGCAGCCGCGGUAAUACGUAGGUGGCAAGCGUUGUCCGGAUUUAUUGGGCGUAAAGCGAGUGCAGGCGGCUCAAUAAGUCUGAUGUGAAAGCCUUCGGCUCAACCGGAGAAUUGCAUCAGAAACUGUUGAACUUGAGUGCAGAAGGGGAGAGUGGAACUCCAUGUGUAGCGGUGGAAUGCGUAGAUAUAUGGAAGAACACCAGUGGCGAAGGCGGCUCUCUGGUCUGCAACUGACGCUGAGGCUCGAAAGCAUGGGUAGCGAACAGGAUUAGAUACCCUGGUAGUCCAUGCCGUAAACGAUGAGUGCUAAGUGU
rnacentral:rRNA from 1 species